rnacentral:lncRNA from 1 species
UCGGAGCUUUCUGAUGCACAAGAUCCUCUUAUAGAGGCAAGUGCAGAGAAUACUUACUCUGAAAUAAGCCAUUUCCUUGCCUUCUCUAAUCUUCUAAAACCAAGACAUAAUAAAGAAGAUGAUUUUCGAGAGAGAAGAAGAGAGAUUUAGCAACUCAUAUUUGUUGAAGAAACUCAAAGGAUCUUAUUUUGUUGCUUCUGC